rnacentral:tRNA from 1 species
UCGCCUAGCCUGGUAGGGCGCCGGCCUGCUAAGCCGGUGGGGGUAUCCCCGCGCGGGUUCAAAUCCCGC